rnacentral:rRNA from 1 species
AUCUACAGCCACACCACCUGAAUGUGCCCAGUCUCGUCUGAUCUCGCUAAGCAGGGUCGGGCCUGGGCAGUACCCGGAUGGGAGACUGCUUGGAAGCACCAGGUGCUGUAGCGG